UCUGGUUGUUGCCACCA
rnacentral:sRNA from 1 species